AUACGGAGGAUGCGAGCGUUAUCCGGAUUUAUUGGGUUUAAAGGGAGCGUAGGCGGGAGCUUAAGUCAGCGGUUAAAUGGUGCGGCUCAACCGUGCCCUGCCGUUGAAACUGGGUUUCUUGAGAGUGCAAGAGGCGGAUGGAAUUCAUGGUGUAGCGGUGAAAUGCUUAGAUAUCAUGAAGAACUCCGAUUGCGAAGGCAGUCCGCUGGGGCACGUCUGACGCUGAUGCUCGAAGGUGCGGGAAUCAAACAGGAUUAGAUACCCUGGUAGUCCGCACGGUAAACGAUGAUUACCCGCUGUCGGCGGUAGACAGUCGGCGGCCAAGCGAAAGCGAUAAGUAAUCCACCUGGGGAGUACGCCGGCAACGGUGAAACUUAAAGGAAUUGGCGGGG
rnacentral:rRNA from 1 species